CAAAUGGUUAUGAGUAGAAGUAGUAGAAAUGAAAAGAUCUUUCAGAGAGCCGUUGGUCGGUGCGAAGCGGCAGUAUCAUUCAUUUCGAACUCGUCUAUGAACUGCUGCCUGACAAUGUAGGGUAAGCCGGAGUUCCACCGUUACAAGGAUAGAUGGUGAUGGCCAUCGAAUGAGCUCAUUUCACAGGAAAUGAAGUAGAGUGGUACCGCGGGGUCAACCUCGUCUCUAUA
rnacentral:ncRNA from 1 species